rnacentral:rRNA from 1 species
GACGAACGCUGGCGGCGUGCUUAACACAUGCAAGUCGAACGGACAGGCCCUGCUUUUGUGGGGUGCUCGAGUGGCGAACGGGUGAGUAACACGUGAGUAACCUGCCCUUGACUUUGGGAUAACUUCAGGAAACUGGGGCUAAUACCGGAUAGGAGCUCCUACUGCAUGGUGGGGGUUGGAAAGUUUCGGCGGUUGGGGAUGGACUCGCGGCUUAUCAGCUUGUUGGUGGGGUAGUGGCUUACCAAGGGUUUGACGGGUAGCCGGCCUGAGAGGGUGACCGGCGACAUUGGGACUGAGAGACGGCCCAGACGCCUACGGGAGGCAGCAGUGGGGAAUAUUGCACAAUGGCCGGAAGCCUGAUGCAGCAACGCCGCGUGCGUGAUGACGGCCUUCGGGUUGUAAACCGCUUUCGCCGGUGACGAAGCGUGAGUGACGGUAAUGGGUAAAGAAGCACCGGCUAACUACGUG